UUAAUAACAAUAAAGCGUCUAAAAAAAUUGAAAUUGGUUCUCCUUUGGUGAGGCUCGGCCAUUGCACUCCGGCCAAACUGACCCAGAUGAAUUUCUCAAAUGUAGAAAUCACAAUUGCACUAUUUGUGGUAGUGGGGGACUGCGUUCGCGCUCUACCCUG